GUCCCCGUCGAUUAGUGGUUAGAUCAUCACGUUGUGGCAAAUGCGUAACAAUCCGUGGAGACGCAGGCUCGACUCCUGCCAGGGACA